rnacentral:lncRNA from 1 species
CAAGGUUUUGUUUGACUCUGUUGAGAACUGCAGCUAAAUGUACUGAAGUUUCUUAAUCAAAGGAACUGUGGAUCAAAUGGCUCAUGAUGUGGGCUACCCUCCUCAGCUGGAUUGCCUCAUUCUGACUAUUUCUCUGGAUGUAUUAUGCUGUGGGACCAAGAGUGGAUUGCCUCUAGUCAACAAGGCAGGCAUCAGUCUAAGACUGUGGGAAAUGAGAUGCUAAGAAGAGAAACAUCUGGAUAGGUUAUGGGGAGGAGAAUGGAAUUGUGGGAACGGUUAUGUUAAUGUGGUGGCACCAAAUAAGGUAAAGUUCUUAGCUCUUGUUAAUGAUUGGUUAGCAACAUUUUACAUAUAAGCCAACAUAAUUGUUCAUUCGUUCACUGCGCUUGGGCAGCACUGUAACAGUCUAUGUAUUGUCGUGCUUAUCCCAUUACGGGGUCUAUGGAGAUUGUUCUAUAUGGUGUAUGGCUUAUCUUUUUGUUAGUGCUUAUUAAUUUUUUUUCCCCGUCAACCUCCA